UACGUAGGGGGCAAGCGUUGUCCGGAUUUAUUGGGCGUAAAGCGCUCGCAGGCGGUCCCGUGCGUCGUGCGUGAAAGGCCCCGGCUCAACCGGGGGCGGUCGUGCGAUACGGCGGGACUGGAGGCCAGUAGGGGGACGCGGAAUUCCGGGUGUAGCGGUGAAAUGCGUAGAUAUACGGAGGAACACCAGGGGCGAAGGCGGAUCGCUGGGCCAACACUGACGCUGAUGUGCGAAAGCUAGGGGAGCAAACGGG
rnacentral:rRNA from 1 species